rnacentral:tRNA from 1 species
GCCCAGGUGGCGAAAUUGGUAGACGCACCAGAUUUAGGUUCUGGCGCCGCGAGGCGUGGGGGUUCGAGUCCCUUCCUGGGCACCA